ACUUCUGCGGGCACGCGGGGCCGCGGGCGGGACAGCGGGGUGGCGAUUGCGGCGUCCAGAGUCCCUUGAACUCGGGAACCUUUCAAGUCCUGAGUCAGGCGGCGGUCCUCCGGGACGCCAGUGCCUCUCAGAAGGCUCAGUUUUGGCCAGCCAAGGGCUUACCGUUUAAACUGGGUCUUUUUUAUUUCUACAGAAAAGGAUAGUUUUCAGAGUGACACCCCAGCAAACGCUCUGGGUGGCUCGCAGAGGCUGAGUUUAAACCACGUGAGACCUGGCCGCGGCGAGAGUCCUGUCCAAUGACUUGCGACUUGGGGUGUUCAAAAAGGGCUUUUCGCAUGAUCUCUAAUAAGACCUCGUUAUCUUGAAAACGAAACAGGGAGGGUUCGAAAACGCAAGAUGUGUAAUGCCUUGUGGUUUAAACCUAGUUUUUAAAAAAUGCACCAAUGAGCCAAUAUGAAACAGCGACAUGGAGACUUUCCCCCAUUGCGGCUCUGGGGGUAGAGAAUCUCUUGUAGCAAUGGAAAAUGUUCAGCUCCUUGAUCCAGACCCGAGUGGAUUCUCUCCAGGGAGCGGGUGGGUGGCGAAGGUCAGAGAGAGGGGAAAAAAGACCACGCUUUGGAAUUAGGGAAGCAACCCAGUGUUGUGGGUGUAGAGGCACCGAGGAUUCUGUUGCAGGGGGUGCCAGUGAUUGCCCUGUAUAAAUACGUAGAUACUAUUAUAUAUUAAUAUUAGGUUGUUACAAAAUCGUCUGUGUCUUCAGGAUGCAAACUGAGAAUAGUAGCUGUUUCUGCUAUUUGCUCCAAACACCGCUAUAUUAUAGUGAACUCUUUACUUUUGAGUGGGAUUAAAUACAGUGACUUUUAAUGCCUUCGCUUUGCUUUACAAUGUUCUUCCCUUAAAAUGCUCGUGUCAUAUUCUAAAGUUCUAAGCCUUCCUGUAGCGAUACGGGGAUGACUGCUUAAGUAUAUAUGUUGGUGUCUUACACAGUGGGUCCUCAGCAAAUAUUAGUGGAAUGAAUCAGACAUAAACAUUUAUUCAGAAGAGUUAACUAAGCAUGUACUAAUAACAAAGACCUUAUUAAAUUAUAUUUCAUAA
rnacentral:lncRNA from 1 species